rnacentral:rRNA from 1 species
GACGAACGCUGGCGGCGUGCUUAACACAUGCAAGUCGAGCGGUAAGGCCCUUUCGGGGGUACGACGAGCGGCGAACGGGUGAGUAACACGUGGGUGACCUGCCCUCAGCUCUGGGAUAAGCCCGGGAAACUGGGUCUAAUACCGGAUAUGACUCCAUGACGCAUGUUGUGGGGUGGAAANCCUUGUGCGGCUGAGGAUGGGCCCGCGCCUAUCAGCUUGUUGGUGGGGUGAUGGCCCACCAAGGCGACGACGGGUAGCCGGCCUGAGAGGGCGACCGGCC